rnacentral:lncRNA from 1 species
AAAGAUUUCUCAUAUCUCAUCUAAAACAGAUCCACUUCGAAUCCAAUUCGAAGCUGGUUCAAAAUAAUUUUGAAAGGCUGUUAAUCCCAAACUCUUUGAGACUUUUAUACUAAGUCUAACUUAGAUUUUAAAUCUAUUUAAGUUUAAUUAAUUUAGAUCUAAUCUAAAAUUAAUCAGCACUUAAAUCCAAUCUUUCAUAUGCUCCAUGGAUCAUAGAUCAUAAACUGUUCAUC